GGGGUUUGGGAAGGGGGUCGAGCUUGGGUUGCCUUGGGAAUUGCUCCGAGCAGCUCCCAGCAGAGGCGGGGCUGGGCCACCCGCGACUGCCCGGCCGGGGCGCGGUGGCCCGCAGGUGGCCGGCCGGGGCGGGGGCUGCGCCGUGCCGGCCCGGCCCGGCUCGGCUCGGCCCGGCACGGCUCGGCUCGGCCGCCUUCCUCCCCGAGAGGAGGGAAGGCACGGGGGGGCUGGCUCCAGGCGGAGCCCGCCGGUUUCCCGGUAUCCGGAACAGGGCACAAGGGGAGCUGCGGGCCGGGCAGACCUGGGAGCGCUGCUCCGUGCCGCCGGCGCUCGGCCCCCGCUGGCCCUGCGCGGGCAGCGGCCGGGGCGCAGGAGCCGCGGGGCGGCGCGGGGCAGCGGCGUGGGGCAGCGGCGUGGGAAGCGCGGCCGCCCCGCCUCGGCCGGCUCGGAAACGCCGCGCUGAGACCAGCGAGAGGAGGCUGUGCCCGGCUCGGCACGGCUCCUCGGCCUCCUCUGCUUCCUCGGCUUCCCUUUCUGUGGGGAAAACGCGAGGUAUCCUAAAUGCGUCCAGGCGAAGAGGCCGCUCAAACCCUUCCUUCCUGAGACGAGAGGGAGCUGCUGCUGGAGCGUACGUUGCUUUCACAGGACGCGUCUGCUGGGAGCCCACAGUGAGGAACAGGAAUGGAUUUCUGCCAGAAGUACAUCAGAUGGUACACCUCGGAUGUUUCAGAUGUUCUGUGCAAGGUUAACUAUUUGGAUGAGAAGUUGUGGAAUCAAGUCAGUCAGUAACACUUUUGUGUUGGUCACACCUAUUGUGACUUUGGCAGUAGCAACAUGAGCAUUACAAUAAGCAGAGCUCUUUGGCUUGCCUUGACAAAAAAUAAAUAGAACUUUCCCUGAAAA